AACCGAUUCAGUCUGACCGGGUUGCUCCCAAGAUCUAAUCCAGAGUCGCUGCUAUUCUAGAUUUUCUUCAACUGCUGAGCCGACGCGACGGAGACGGAGACGGCGGUGGAGACACCGAUCCAGGCGACGACUUCUCGAUCCAUCUGUUCGUAGAGAUAUUUCGUGUUUCCUCUAAAACAAAUCGAUUCUUUGCAGAAGCCAUAAUUGUUUUUGCAAAUCCAAGUAAUUUCCUAGCGCAAGUUCGACCGAUCUACGAAUUCCUCGAGCUAUGUCUGAGCUGGCUCUCUCUCACGAGGAGGACAAGGAAGAGGAAGAGGGGGAAGACGGUGAUCUGGAGGACACCCCCCUAGACCCCUCUGAUGUGCUACGAUUUGUUCAAAGUGUCUGCAACGUUGAACCUGCCAAGAGGUUAAACUUGAUGAGAGAUGCCUUAGGUGUUCCACCCAAACCCCGCGACUGGCCCAACAUCAGCGUGCUCCCUGAGUCGUCUAGACAUCGAAGACAUGUGGGUGACCUUUACUGGCACCAGACUUACCAAAUGAACCAACUCUCCGAGACUUGUUUGCCGCCUAUGAGGUAUACUCAAUGUUGUGACCAAUCCACAGUUGGGCAGCAACGGUGCUUUCACAAGCCGUGCCCUAUGCUCCAAAUCUUCUCUACCAGGGUGCAGCUGGCAGAUUACCCUGGUCCAACCGAGGUGUACGGUUGCAUCGCGGUCCGAGACUCCGAGGAUUAUCGCCGCAUUUAUCUUUUCAACCGAUCCCGAGAUGACCCGCUCACCAUCAAUUCGUUGCUCAGUCACCCCACCAUUACACUACAUCAUGGGAUUCAAAAACGAAUUGUGGUCAUUUGUUGCUGGACACCACACUGACUGAUAUUAAUUUUAAGAGAUAGAGAAGUUGGGGUCAGGAGAAGGAUUAGUGGCAGGAUGGACAUCUCGUUACCUCGUUUAUGGUUUUGAACUAAUGAGCUUGCUCUUUUCCAUGAUGAAUACCACAUAUACAUAUGUAGUGUCAUGUAGUUUCAGGCUAGCGAUUAUCUGCGACUUUUGAGCCCGAAAAGAGGCAUGUCCAUGCAAUUUGACUGCCUUGUUGAAGUCGAUAUCAGAACAAAGGCAUUGUCGGGUGAUGCAGAUGACAAAAUUUUAGUUGACGGGUGUUUUGACCUAAUCGAGGGACGGGCUACUUUCGACGUGCUCUCUAGAAGCGUGCUGGAAGGUGAACAUGGUGCUAUUGUUUUUGAUCUGAUCAUGUUUCGGAGAAGCGUCGAGGCAACCAUUCAUAUGAACUUCUUGGAAGUGCCCGGAGAUGGGUUUGAUAUAAAGAUGUGCGGGUUCACUGCCAUUUGGAAGAAUCUGUAUGCUUUCAUAGACUGCGAACAAUGCGAGUGUGAUAGCUUCGUCUCCUCGACCGGGAAAUUCACACAGUAUUUUGUAGCGGCUGUGCAGAUGGAUGAUACACUGUUUAUCGAUUUUAUGGAGGGGAAUAUGCCAAUCUCAUUUGAAGCAGCUAUUCAUGGCACCGAGGAAAAAGUAUAUUACUUUCGUAAUGGUGCUGUGGUGUCUGUGAAGGUGUCUUGGUCGACAGCCCACUAUUAAGGAAUAUAAUUAGAGUUUAAUUAAAGUACACUUUGUAGUAAAAAGUGCCGGGGAGGGAGCACUAUUUUACAACGUGUUGAAUGAAGUUUCCGUUUUUAGAAGACUUGUUGCCAAGUAAUUUAUCAGUGUUUUACCUUUUUUUUUUCUGCCAUACUGUAAGUGGUAAAAAAAUCUAGUUCCCACUAAGAAGUGGAGGUACAGAACCAUUCUGAAACAUCUUUAGUGAAAACAACUCAAAUAUAAGUUUACGAUUCACCGUUGGUUCUAACAUGGGGAAAGUUAAGUCAUCCGCUUAAACAUCUAUAAAAACCUUGAGAAAUCCGAGGGCCGGACUCUUGAUUCCAACAUGUUUCCGAGUAUUUUGUUUAUGACUUUUGAAUUUUUUAUUUGUUACACAUGAAUUGCAAAUUGUUAUUUCUGAUUUUAUAUACUAUGCAAAGUUAAACAAAAUGUGGGUCCCACCAAGACACAGUUCACGUUCAGCCGCUCACCACCAAGAGAGGGAACCUGAAGUAUGGUUUUUAUUUACUUUAUUUCUUCAAGUUUAUUCCCUUCAAUCCAAAUUAAUCAAAGUUCUAGGCUUUCCCCCCAGUCUUGAAAGAUACAGUAGUAUAAUACAAUGCACUCAUAGAGAAGGAAAAAAAAAGAAACAUUUUGCAUCCAUAUAUAGAAGCAACUCGCCAAGAAAGGGCAAGGAUGUUAAUAUAUACUGUUCAUAUAUACAUAAUCCAUGUUGGCACAUGGAACUGAUAAAAAGUACACUUUGCAGGCAGGUAACUAUAGGAACUUGGACAACAGAAAUUGUGCUUAUUGAUGUACUCCCUCCCAUCCAUGCAUUUUGCAUCCAUAUAUUUUUCUCGAUAGAGAUUUUCCUUCGGUGUGCCCAGCUUCUUCUCCAGGUCCCCCCGAGAUGCCAUUGCAGCUCCACGCCACCGUCCGUCAUCGCUGCCGCCAUCACGGGAGGUACUCCGCCGUGCCUUCUAUGGCACACUCCAUCAAAAUUGAGGCACCCUCCUCUCAGCAGGAAGCCAUGCUGCUCCUUGGCGGACGGGCCAAAUCCCCAUCGAGUUCAUCGAGAAGCUCCUCGACCGUGCGCUGGUUCGCUACGCCCCGUGGUCGGCCUCCUCGAGGAUAUCCUCACCAUGGCGUGCACCUGUGAGGGUGUGCCGUUUCAUGACGACGAUGGCGAGCUGCUCAAUGGCGGAUCCCUCAAGACGUGCCGUUCUCGACGGGCCUCCUGGACAACUGCACCAUCAAAUCUCCUGGGCGGACGCUUGGGGAUUCGACUGCGCCGGUGAUGGAGAUGGGACAGGACCCGACGCGGAUGGAGGUCCCUGAUGUCGCGCUUGAUGUCCACCAUGGAGCGGCUGCAGGAGAGCACGGCGGGGGAGCAGCGGAGUUCAUGCUCACGGGUUGGUUCGCCCUUACCUGGUGGUUGUGAUGCUUUCCGUCAGCGAUUGGUGCAGGUUCCAUGUGGUGGAUUGGUGGCACUAGACAGUCGCCGUCCACAGCGACAGUGUACUGAGAGUCGGCAGUUUGGAUGGUAUGCAUUGUCAGCUAUGAACGUAUAGCCUAAUAGCUGCAGCAUGGUUAUGAAAUUUAAGUACUCUACCAAAAAGGGGACUACGGGCUUCAACAUCAGUAAAUUAAUUAGGAAAUAACACUUCCAAGAUCAUCUACUGCCACCAAGUUCAUGUAGAUCAAAUGUUCAUAGCCAUCAGCAGGUGCAUGAAUUUAGAGGCUGGAGGUGAUGGAAAAUCACAGCUGAGAUUUAUAGUGUUGCGAUGCUAAUUUAGAGAUCUUGGCAAGCAAGAUGUAUGCAAAUUAUUCCGUCGUCUCCUCAACAGCUUCUGGAUGUUCAAAAAUACAAAGCUACUGGCUGGCUUUGAAUACUACUUCCGAACCUAGCCAAAGAGAAGCAGGAGGUUGUCUUGCUGUUAACACUAAUUGCUGCAAGAAAAUGGCAACUUAUUUUUGCCUCUAAUUUAGUGUGAUCGGUUCACCGACACCACUCAUGACGCCACUCCUAAGUUGAGAAUAUACGAGAGCUCAUUGUGUCUUCAGCUGAUCAGAACAACAAUCAACUAAAGCAUUGUUUUCUUCCAGAGAACUCCAUGGUUUGUUUUGCUAUUAUUUCUUAGAUCAUGUUCAGCUCUUUCCAUGGUUCCAAGGCGAUGCAUAUCAGUUGAAGAACAAGCGUGUUGCUCAAGUUUAAUGUUGCACGCAAGGCAAGGGGUCACGAAGACUUGAAUCUUCUAGGUUCACUUAAUGGCUAGAACAAAAUCGUCAUCUGAUGCCUUCACCACCAUCCGAGUCAUGACUAGAAUCUUAGAAACCCUCUUCACCGCCUCAUUGGGCUAUCUAUGGAUUGUGUGUCAGUGGAGCAAUUGGUCUAAUGCACAUCUAUGGAUAGCCACUAUUGUCUGUCAAGAUAAACACAAUGGCCAAGUAAGUGAACAGUGACAGUUCUAGAUGAUUCAUUAGUUUAUGUAUGUACGAAGAUAUCGAAAACAGUGAGUUGACGUUCCGUAUUGUUAUAUCUCAUUUUUCUCUAUUCUAACAAAGGGUACUUAAAAUGUAGCUAUCCAUCAACAAUUUAGAGCCUAUCCAGUGAAAUUAUUUAUGUGUCAAUAUAUCAUGAUUUACCAGUAGCUUGAAUGCCAAUAUUCGCGACUGUAGACUGAGCAUGACAUAUCAUGUUUAUUUUUUUAUUUCAUUCUAUCCAUCUCCUUGCAACUUUCGAUGAUAUUGUUGUCGAGGUUUUGAAGGCAGGUGAAAGUGAGGUGGCUUAGCAGGUACCACAAGCGUUUGCCUAUUUUUUGUUGCUAUUGCACUAUAAUUGACGUACAUAUCUUGGUUACUGAGGUUAGAUCUCUUGACAGUUAUUUUCUUAACUUCUCUUGCUGGUACUAUUGCCCCAUAGUUGUAUUUAUACCAGAUUCAUAUGAGUAGUAUGAAUAUGUUCUUUGGUUUGUUGUUAAAUUCUCUUACCUUUUGUUGUAUCUCCCUGCUUACUCUAUAAAUAUGAAAGGAUGCGCAACUUCUGGUUUACACAACGACUAUAAAGAAGCAAAUGACUGAAUAUCAGGCCCUGUAAUUUUGAUUUUGAGAACUUAUAUGUGUUUGUGCUCUGGUCCAGGUCUCCUUAAAUAAAUACAAUACAUCAUUACUGUCCAAUUUCCUUAAUUGAAUUUAAUGUUCAACGAGUUAUGUUGAA